GCCUUCGUUGUGUAAUGGUUAGCACACUCGGCGCGUAUUCGGGAGGUCUAGGUUCGAGCCCUGGCGAGGGCA
rnacentral:tRNA from 1 species